rnacentral:rRNA from 1 species
GAUGAACGCUGGCGGUGUGCCUAAUACAUGCAAGUCGAACGGGGAUUUCAGCAAUGGGAUCCUAGUGGCGAACGGGUGAGUAACGCGUUGGUGACCUGCCCCGAAGAGAGGGAUAACAGACCGAAAGGUUUGCUAAUACCGCAUAAGCUCGAGCUAGUCAGAGAGGCUUGAGGAAAGGCCGAAAGGCGCUUUGGGAGGGGCCUGCGUCCCAUCAGCUAGUUGGCGAGGUAAGAGCUCACCAAGGCGAUGACGGGUAGGGGACCUGAGAGGGUGACCCCCCACAAUGGAACUGAAACACGGUCCAUACACCUACGGGUGGCAGCAGUAGGGAAUAUUGGUUAAUGGGCGAAAGCCUGACCCAGCAACGCCGCGUGCGCGAUGAAGGCCUUCGGGUUGUAAAGCGCUUUUAAGUGGGAUGAGGAAGGACAGUACCACUAGAAUAAGUCUCGGCUAACUACGUGCCAGCAGCCGCGGUAACACGUAGGAGACGAGCGUUAUCCGGAUUUACUGGGUGUAAAGCGCGUGCAGGCGGUAUGGAAAGUUGGAUGUGAAAGCUCCCGGCUUAACUGGGAGAGGUCGUUCAAAACUACCAAACUAGAGUACAGCAGAGGGGAGUGGAAUUCCGAGUGUAGCGGUAAAAUGCAUAGAUAUUCGGAAGAACACCAGUGGCGAAGGCGGCUCCCUGGGCUGAAACUGACGCUCAGACGCGAAAGCUAGGGUAGCGAACGGGAUUAGAGACCCCGGUAGUCCUAGCCGUAAACGAUGUAGACUUGGCGUCGGUGGGUUCAAAGCCAUCGGUGCCGAAGCUAACGCGAUAAGUCUACCGCCUGGGGACUACGGCCGCAAGGUUAAAACUCAAAGGAAUUGACGGGGGCCCGCACAAGCAGCGGAGCGUGUGGUUUAAUUCGAUGCUACACGAAGAACCUUACCCGGGUUUGACAUGUGGGUGGUAGGGAUCCGAAAGGUGACCGACCCCUCGGGGAGCCCUCACAGGUGCUGCAUGGCUGUCGUCAGCUCGUGUCGUGAGAUGUUCGGUUAAGUCCGCUAACGAGCGCAACCCUCGCCGUAUGUUAUACGUGUCAUACGGGACCGCCGGUAUCAAGCCGGAGGAAGGUGGGGAUGACGUCAAGUCAGCAUGGCCUUUAUGUCCGGGGCUACACACACGCUACAAUGGCCGGUACAAUGGGUUGCUAAGCCGCGAGGUAGAGCCAAUCCCCAAAGCCGGUCUCAGUUCAGAUCACAGGCUGAAACCCGCCUGUGUGAAGUCGGAGUUGCUAGUAAACGCGCGUCAGCCAUAGUGCGUUGAAUACGUUCUCGGGCCUUGUACACACCGCCCGUCACGUCAUGGGAGCUGGUAACACCUGAAGCCGGUAGCCUAACCGCAAGGAGGGCGCCGUCGAAGGUGGUGCUGGUGACUGGGACG